rnacentral:rRNA from 1 species
CCUACGGGUGGCUGCAGUGGGGAAUAUUGCACAAUGGGCGCAAGCCUGAUGCAGCCAUGCCGCGUGUGUGAAGAAGGCCUUCGGGUUGUAAAGCACUUUCAGCGGGGAGGAAGGCGGUGAGGUUAAUAACCUCAUCGAUUGACGUUACCCGCAGAAGAAGCACCGGCUAACUCCGUGCCAGCAGCCGCGGUAAUACGGAGGGUGCAAGCGUUAAUCGGAAUUACUGGGCGUAAAGCGCACGCAGGCGGUCUGUCAAGUCGGAUGUGAAAUCCCCGGGCUCAACCUGGGAACUGCAUUCGAAACUGGCAGGCUAGAGUCUUGUAGAGGGGGGUAGAAUUCCAGGUGUAGCGGUGAAAUGCGUAGAGAUCUGGAGGAAUACCGGUGGCGAAGGCGGCCCCCUGGACAAAGACUGACGCUCAGGUGCGAAAGCGUGGGGAGCAAACAGGAUUAGAUACCCUAGUAGCC